rnacentral:tRNA from 1 species
GCUGCGAUGGCCGAGAGGUUAAGGCGUUGGACUCGAAAUCCAAUGGGGUUUCCCCGCGCAGGUUCGAACCCUGCUUCAUGGCG